rnacentral:rRNA from 1 species
AUUGAACGCUGGCGGCAUGCCUUACACAUGCAAGUCGAACGGCAGCACGGGUGCUUGCACCUGGUGGCGAGUGGCGAACGGGUGAGUAAUAUAUCGGAACGUACCUUAUUGUGGGGGAUAACGCAGCGAAAGCUGUGCUAAUACCGCAUAAUCCCUAAGGGGGAAAGCGGGGGACCGUAAGGCCUCGCGCAAUUAGAGCGGCCGAUACCUGAUUAGCUAGUUGGUGAGGUAAAGGCUCACCAAGGCAACGAUCAGUAGCUGGUCUGAGGGGACGAUCAGCCACACUGGGACUGAGACACGGCCCAGACUCCUACGGGAGGCAGCAGUGGGGAAUUUUGGACAAUGGGGGCAACCCUGAUCCAGCAAUGCCGCGUGAGUGAAGAAGGCCUUCGGGUUGUAAAGCUCUUUUGUCAGGGAAGAAACAGCAGCUCUAACACAGUAUGCGAAUGACGGUACCUGAAGAAUAAGCACCGGCUAACUACGUGCCAGCAGCCGCCGAAA